CUUGUCCGAUUUAUAUCUAUCGGUAAUUACGAAGACAAAAGCUGAUUAUAUGUACAACACAUUCACUGUGCUUUCUUCAAAUUUUAAAUUAGUGCUAAAAAAACAUUGGUUUAAUCGUAAGGUAUAUUUUGUUUAGUCAAGGUUAAUUUCAUUUAAUACCCGAUAAGAUUAAAAUCUAAUCACAACAAAGGUGUAAGCUACAAAAGAACUUUUUAAUAAGAAACAAACAUUAUAAUUCCAUUUAAAU